CCAUGUCCAACAACUAGACCAAAAUAGCCCCAUCUUAAGCUCCUUAUCUGAUCGAACUAAAACUUAUUUUGCAUCUCCUGUCACAUGGUGAGGCCAAAAACAAUAUCCACAUCUAUGUAACAAACAAAAAACUGAUCAAAUAGAACAAAAGGGAACCAAUCACCAAACCAGAACCGCUUUUCCUUCAAAAAUGGUGAAGAACCACACAAAGAUCCAUCUGAAAUGGAAGUGCAUAAACAAUAAGCAAGGGGAAAGCCCAGGAAGAAGACAAUGACAGUAGAAAAAUAUUAUACUCCCUCUACAAUGCUUCACGUCCAACAACCAGACCAAGAUAGCCCCACCUUAAGCUCCGACUUUGGUAGAAUCAAAACUUAUUUUGUAUCUCCUGUCAAAGGGUGGGACCAAAAACAAUAUACACAUGUACGUAACAAACAAAAAAUAGAUUAAACAGAGCAAAAGGGAACCAAGCACCAAACCAGAACCGCCUUCCCACGAGAACUGGUUAAUUAGAACCCAAAGAUCAAACAUUUGAAGAUUAAAGAGCAUAACAAUAAGCAAAGGGAAAAAGUUCACCUAGAAGAUAAAUCACAAUAGAAAAAUAAUAUACUCCUGUUGACACCCACCAUAAACACUAUACCAAUGGCAGCAUCCAAGAUUGGUCCAUAUCCAAAUAACCAGACCAAGAUAGCCUCACCUUAAAUACCUAACUUUGAUGGAAUCAAAACCAAUUUUGUAUCUCCUGACACAGGGUGAGGCAGAAAACAAGGUCCAAGUCUACGUAACAAAAUAAAACUAUAAUAGAGAGCAAAGAUAACCAAGGAUCAAACCAGAACAGUCUUCCACAGAAGCCUGAUUAAGAAACACACAACGAUCCGGCAUCUGGAAAUUGAAAAGAAUAACGAUAAGCAAGGGAAAGUUUAGGUAGAAUAUAAAAUUUAGUAAAAAAGUUACAAUACUAUACUCCCUAUGCAACCCUUGAUAAACACUAUAUCAAUGACAGCGUCAAAGGUUGCUCCGUGUCCAACAAUCAGACCAAGAUUGCACCACCAUAAGCUCCUACUUUGAUAGAAUCAAAACUUAAUUUAUAUUUUGUGUCAUAGGGUGAUGCAGAAAACAAUAUCCACGCCAACGUAACAAACAAAAAACUGAUGAAAGAGAAAAAAGAUAACAAAGCAUCAAACCGAACAGCCUUCCAAUUAAGAACCACAACGAUCAGAAAUCUGAAAAUUGAAGAGUAUAACGACAAGCACCGGAAACUCUAGGUAGAAGAGAAAAUAUAGUAGAAGAAAAUGUAGUAUAACAAUCUGCAUCCCUCAAUAAACAUUAUAUCAAUUGACAUCUUAUAUUAGUCCGCAUCCAACAACCCCACCAAGUUGGCCCCCACCUUAAGCUCCCACUUUGAUAGAAUAAAACUGAAUUUGUAUCUCCUGUCACAGGGUGAGGGCGAAAAAAAUAUCAAAGUCUACGUAACAAAAAAAAAAAAACUAUAAUAGAGAACACAGACAACCAAGCGUCAAACAAGAACUGCCUUUCAGAGAAGCUUGAUUAAGAACAAAACAGCAACCAAAGAUUUGUCCAUGUCCAAAAACCAGACCAAGAUAGCCCCCACCUUAAGCUCCUACUUUGAUAGAAUCAAAACCUAUUUUGUAUCUCCUGUCACAGGGUGAGGCUGAAAACAACAUCCAAGUCUACAUAACAGCAAAAGAACUAUAAUUGAGAGAGCAAAGAUAACCAAUUAUCAAACCCGAACUGCCUUCCAGUUAAACUUGAUUAAGAACCACAUAAUGAACAGGCAUCUGGAAAUGGAAGAGAGACUAACAAUAACCACAGGAAAGUCUAGAUGGAAGAUAAAUUGUAGUAGAAAAAAAUACUAUAUUAUACUCCCUCUGCCAUCCUCGAUAAACACUAUAAUUGACAGCGUCAAAGGUUGAUCUGUGGCCAAUAUAACUAAACCAAGAUUAGCCCCACCUUGAGCUCCUACUUUGAUAAAAUCAAAACAAAAUUUUUAUCAUCUGCCAUAGGAUGAGGCAGAAAUACAAUAUACACGUAUACGUAACAAACAAAAAAACUGAUGAUAGAGAGAAAAGAUAAACCCAGCAUCAAACCAGAAGUGCCUUCAAGUAAAGAACACCUGGAAAUUGAAGAGUAUAACGAUAAGUAUAGGAAACUCAAGGUAAAAGAGAAAACGUAAAAAAAAAAAAAAUAACUAUACUGUACACCAUCUGCCACCCUCGACAAACACUAUAUCAAUGAUGGCAUCAUAGAUUAGUCCAUAUCCAAAAACCAGACCAAGAUAACCCCCACCUUAAGCUUCAACUUUGAUAGAAUCAAAACCUAUUUUGUCUCCUGGCACAGGGUGAGGACCAAAACAUUGUCCAAGUCUACAUAACAAAUAAACAAUAAUUACAGAGCAAAGGUGACCAAUUAGCAAACCAGAACAGCCUUCCCGUGAAGCUUGAUUAAAAACCACACAGCGAUCAGGCAUCUGGAAAUUGAUGAGAACAACGGUAAGCAUGGGAAAGUCUAGGUAGAAGAUAAAAGAUAGUAAAAAAAAAAAAAACUAUUCUAUACUCUCUUUGCCAGGCCCACACCACUAUAUCAAUGACAGCAUCAAAGGUAGAUCCGUGUUCAAUAACCAGGCCAACAUUAGCCACACCAUAAGCUCCUUCUUUCAAAACUUAAUUUUUAUCUCCUAUCAUAGGGUGAGGCAGAGAACAAUAUCCACGUCUACAUAACAACAAAAAAUUGUUGAAACUGACAAAAGAUAACCAAGAAAACAAGAAGUGCCAUCCAUUAUGGAAAUUGAAGAGUAUAACUAUAAACACGGGAAACUCUAGGUAGAAGAGAAAAUGUAGUAGAAAAAAAAAAUACUAUUAUGUAUUUCCUUUGCGACCCUCGAUUUACAAUAUACCAAUGAUAACAUCAAAGAUCUGUCCGCGUCCAAAAACCAGACCAAGAUAGCCCCCACAUUAAGCUCCUACAGUGAUGGAAUCAAAACCUAUUUUGUAUCUCCUGUCACAGGGUAGGCCCAAAACAAUAUCCAAGUCUAUAUAACAACAAAAGAAAUAUAAUAGAGAGAUCAAAUGCAACCAAUUAUGAACCCAGAACUGCCUUCCAGUUAAGCUUGAUUAAGAACCACACAACGAUCAGGCAUCUGGAAAUUGAAGAGAAUAACAAUAAGCACGGGAAAGUCAAGAUGGAAGAUAAAUUGUAGCAGAAUUAAUACAAUACUAUACUCCCUCUGACACCCUCGAUAAACAUUAUAUCAGUGACAGCAUCAAAAGUUGAUAUGUCUCCAAUAACUAGACCAAGAUUAGCCCCACCAUAAGCUGCUUCUUUCACAACUUAAUUUUUAACCCCUGUCACAAGGUGAGGCAGAAAACAAUAUCCACGUCUACGUAACAAAUAAAAGAUUGUUGAAACUGACAAAAGAUAACCAAGCAUACCAGAAGUGCCUUCCAGUUAAGAACCACACAACAAUCAGACAUCUGGAAAUUGAAGAGUAUAACUAUUAGCACGGGAAACUCUAGGUAGAAGAGAAAAUGUAGUAGAAAAAAAAUACUAUUAUGUACUCCAUGUACUCCCUUUACCACCCACAUUAAACUAUAUCAAUGACAGCAUGAAGGAUUUGUCAGUGUACCAAAAACCAGACCAAGACACGCCCCCACCUUAAGCUCCUACUUUGAUAGAAUCAGAACCUAUUUUGUAUCUCCUAUCACAGGGUGAGGCUGAAACCAACAUCGAGUCUAAAUAACAACAAAAGAACUACAAUAGAGAGAGCAAAGGUAACCAACUAUCAAACCCGAACUGCCGUCCAGUAAGCUUGAUUAAGAACCACACAACGAUCGGGCAUCUGGAAAUGGAAGAGAAUAACGAUAAGCACCGGAAGGUCUAGAUGGAAGAUAAAUUGUAUUAGAAGAAAUACUAUACUAACUCCCUCUGCCACCCUCGAAAAACAUAUCAUGACCAUCAAAGGAUUGAUUGUGUGCAAUAACUGACUAAGAUUAGCCCUACCUUAAGCCCUACUUUGAUAAAAUUAAAACUUAAUUUUUAUCUCAUGUCAUAGGGUGGGGCAGAAAACAAUAUCACGUCUAUGUACAAACAAAAAUUGUUGAAAUGACAAAAGAUAACCAAACAUCAAACCAGAAGUGUCAUCCAGUUAAGAACCACCCCACGAUCAGACAUCUGGAAAUUGAAGAGUAUAUCUAUAAGCACGGGAAACUCUAGGUAGAAGAGAAAAUGUAUAGAAAUAAAAAUACUAUUAUGUACUCCCUUUGCCACCCUCGAUUAACACAAUAUCAAUGACUCAUCAAAGAUCUGUCCGCGUCCAAAAACCAGACCAAGAUAGCCCCCACAUUAAGCUCCUACAGUGAUGGAAUCAAAACCUAUUUUGUAUCUCCUGUCACAGGGUAGGCCCAAAACAAUAUCCAAGUCUAUAUAACAACAAAAGAAUAUAAUAGAGAGAUCAAAUGCAACCAAUUAUGAACCCAGAACUGCCUUCCAGUUAAGCUUGAUUAAGAACCAAACAACGAUCAGGCAUCUGGAAAUCGAAGAGAAUAACAAUAAGCACGGGAAAGUCAAGAUGGAAGAUAAAUUGUAGCAGAAUUAAUACAAUACUAUACUCCCUCUGACACCCUCGAUAAACAUUAUAUCAGUGACAGCAUCAAAAGUUGAUGUCUCCAGUAACUAGACCAAGAUUAGCCCCACCAUAAGCUGCUUCUUUCACAACUUAAUUUUUAACUCCUGUCACAAGGUGAGGCAGAAAACAAUAUCCACGUCUACGUAACAAAUAAAAGAUUGUUGAAACUGACAAAAGAUAACCAAGCAUACCAGAAGUGCCUUCCAGUUAAGAACCACACAACAAUCAGACAUCUGGAAAUUGAAGAGUAUAACUAUUAGCACGGGAAACUCUAGGUAGAAGAGAAAAUGUAGGUAGAAAAAAAAUACUAUUAGUACUCCCUUUACCACCCACUAUUAACACUAUAUCAAUGACAGCAUGAAGGAUUUGUCAGUGUCCAAAAACCAGACCAAGACAGCCCCCACCUUAAGCUCCUACUUGAUAGAAUCAGAACCUAUUUUGUAUCUCCUAUCACAGGGUGAGGCUGAAACCAACAUCCGAGUCUAAAUAACAACAAAAGAACUACAAUAGAGAGAGCAAAGGUAACCAACUAUCAAACCCGAACUGCCGUCCAGUUAAGCUUGAUUAAGAACCACACAACGAUCGGGCAUCUGGAAAUGAAGAGAAUAACGAUAAGCACCGGAAGGUCUAGAUGGAAGAUAAAUUGUAUAGAAGAAAUACUAUACUAUACUCCCUCUGCCACCCUCGAUAAACACACUAUAUAGUGACCACGUCAAAGGAUUGACUUGUGUGCAAUAACUUGACUAAGAUUAGCCCUACCUUAAGCUCCUACUUGAUAAAAUUAAAACUUAAUUUUUAUCUCAUGUCAUAGGGUGGGGCAGAAAACAAUAUCCACGUCUAUGUAGCAAACAAAAUUGUUGAACUGACAAAAGAUAACCAAACAUCAAACAGAAGUGUCUCCAGUUAAGAACCACCCCACGAUCAGACAUCUGGAAAUUGAAGAGUAUAUCUAUAAGCACGGGAAACUCGAGGUAGAAGAGAAAAUGUAGUAGAAUAAAAAUACUAUUAUGUACUCCCUUUGCCACCCUCGAUUAACACAAUAUCAAUGACUACAUCAAAGAUCUGUCGCGUCCAAAAACCAGACCAAGAUAGCCCCCACAUUAAGCUCCUACAGUGAUGGAAUCAAAACCUAUUUUGUAUCUCCUGUCACAGGGUAGGCUCAAAACAAUAUCCAAGUCUAUAUAACAACAAAAGAAAUAUAAUAGAGAGAUCAAAUGCAACCAAUUAUGAACCCAGAACUGCCUUCCAGUUAAGCUUGAUUAAGAACCAAACAACGAUCAGGCAUCUGGAAAUCGAAGAGAAUAACAAUAAGCACGGGAAAGUCAAGAUGGAAGAUAAAUUGUAGCAGAAUUAAUACAAUACUAUACUCCCUCUGACACCCUCGAUAAACAUUAUAUCAGUGACAGCAUCAAAAGUUGAUAGUCUCCAUAACUAGACCAAGAUUAGCCCCACCAUAAGUGCUUCUUUCACAACUUAAUUUUUAACCCCUGUCACAAGGUGAGGCAGAAAACAAUAUCCACGUCUACGUAACAAAUAAAAGAUUGUUGAAACUGACAAAAGAUAACCAAGCAUACCAGAAGUGCCUUCCAGUUAAGAACCACACAACAUCAGACAUCUGGAAAUUGAAGAGUAUAUCUAUAGCACGGGAAAUUCUAGGUAGAAGAGAAAAUGUAGUAGAAAAAAAAUACUAUUAUGUACUCCCUUUCCACCCCGAUUAAACAUAUCAAUGACCAUAAGAUUGUCGGUCCAAAAACCAGACCAAGACAGCCCCCACCUUAAGCUCCUACUUUGAUAGAAUCAGAACCUAUUUUGUAUCUCCUAUCACAGGGUGAGGCUGAAACCAACAUCGAGUCUAAAUAACAACAAAAGAACUACAAUAGAGAAAGCAAAGGUAACCAACUAUCAAACCCGAACUGCCGUCCAGUUAAGCUUGAUUAAGAACCACACAACGAUCGGGCAUCUGGAAAUGGAAGAGAAUAACGAUAAGCACCGGAAGGUCUAGAUGGAAGAUAAAUUGUAUUAGAAGAAAUACUAUCUAUACUCCCUCUGCCACCCUCGAUAAACACACUAUAUCAGUGACCACGUCAAAGGAUUGACUUGUGUGCAAUAACUUGACUAAGAUUAGCCCUACUUAAGCUCCUACUUUGAUAAAAUUAAAACUUAAUUUUUAUCUCAUGUCAUAGGGUGGGGCAGAAAACAAUAUCCACGUCUAUGUACAAACAAAAUUGUUGAAAUGACAAAAGAUAACCAAACAUCAAACCAGAAGUGUCUCCAGUUAAGAACCACCCAGAUCAGACAUACUGGAAAUUGAAGGUAUAUCUAUAAGACACGGAAAUUGGUAGAAGAGAAAAUUAAGUAGAAUAAAAACUAUUAUGUACUCCCUUUGCCACCCUCGAUUAACACAAUAUCAAUGACUCAUCAAAGAUCUGUCCGCGUACCAAAAACCAGACCAAGAUACCCCACAUUAAGCUCCUACAGUGAUGGAAUCAAAACCUAUUUUGUAUCUCCUGUCACAGGGUAGGCCCAAAACAAUAUCCAAGUCUAUAUAACAACAAAAGAUAUAUAAUAGAGAGAUCAAAUGCAACCAAUUAUGAACCCAGAACUGCCUUCCAGUUAAGCUUGAUUAAGAACCAAACAACGAUCAGGCAUCUGGAAAUCGAAGAGAAUAACAAUAAGCACGGGAAAGUCAAGAUGGAAGAUAAAUUAUAGCAGAAUUAAUAC
rnacentral:lncRNA from 1 species